rnacentral:rRNA from 1 species
AUUGAACGCUGGCGGAAUGCUUUACACAUGCAAGUCGAGCGGCAGCGCGGGGCAACCUGGCGGCGAGCGGCGAACGGGUGAGUAAUGCAUCGGAACAUGUCCAUGUCGUGGGGGAUAGCCCGGCGAAAGCCGGAUUAAUACCGCAUAAGCCCGAGAGGGGAAAGCAGGGGACCGCAAGGCCUUGCGCGAUUGGGUUGGCCGAUGUCCGAUUAGCUUGUUGGUGAGGUAAAGGCUUACCAAGGCGAUGAUCGGUAGCUGGUCUGAGAGGAUGAUCAGCCACACUGGGACUGAGACACGGCCCAGACUCCUACGGGUGGCUG